rnacentral:rRNA from 1 species
AGUGAACGCUGGCGGUAGGCCUAACACAUGCAAGUCGAACGGCAGCACAGUAAGAGCUUGCUCUUACGGGUGGCGAGUGGCGGACGGGUGAGGAAUACAUCGGAAUCUACUUUUUCGUGGGGGAUAACGUAGGGAAACUUACGCUAAUACCGCAUACGACCUACGGGUGAAAGCAGGGGAUCUUCGGACCUUGCGCGAUUGAAUGAGCCGAUGUCGGAUUAGCUAGUUGGCGGGGUAAAGGCCCACCAAGGCGACGAUCCGUAGCUGGUCUGAGAGGAUGAUAAGCCACACUGGAACUGAGACACGGUCCAGACUCCUACGGGAGGCAGCAGUGGGGAAUAUUGGACAAUGGGCGCAAGCCUGAUCCAGCCAUACCGCGUGGGUGAAGAAGGCCUUCGGGUCGUAAAGCCCUUUUGUUGGGAAAGAAAAGCAGCAGGUUAAUACCCCGCUGUUCUGACGGUACCCAAAGAAUAAGCACCGGCUAACUUCGUG